rnacentral:rRNA from 1 species
GACAGAGGGUGCAAACGUUGUUCGGAAUUACUGGGCGUAAAGCGAGUGUAGGCGGUGUGGUAAGUCGGAUGUGAAAGCCCCGGGCUCAACCCGGGAAGUGCACUCGAUACUGCCACGCUAGAGUAUCGGAGAGGUUGGUGGAAUUCUCGGUGUAGAGGUGAAAUUCGUAGAUAUCGAGAGGAACACCGGUGGCGAAGGCGGCUACCUGGACAAUUGCUGACGCUCAGGCACGAAAGCGUGGGGAGCAAAAGGG